GCCCGCCAGAGACCCCUCCAAACUCCUGUUUUUACCGGUGUUGUCUGAGCGUAAACAUGAAUAUUUAUACUUUUAACAACGGAUCUCUUGGUUCUGGCAUCGAUGAAGAACGCAGCGAAAUGCGAUAAGUAAUGUGAAUUGCAGAAUUCAGUGAAUCAUCGAAUCUUUGAACGCACAUUGCGCCCUUUGGCAUUCCGAAGGGCAUGCCUGUCCGAGCGUCAUUACACCCCUCAAGCUUUGCUUGGUAUUGGGCGUCGGCCGUCGGCCGCGCCUCUAUUUCCCCGGCUGGACGGUUCAAAUCUCAGCGUUGUGAUAAUCAAUUCGCGGAGCAGGAGGACCGGACGCGCCGUUAAACCUCAUUACAGGUUGACCUCGGAUCGGGUAGGGAUACCCGCUGAACUUAAGCAUAUCAAUAAGCGGAGGA
rnacentral:rRNA from 1 species